rnacentral:misc_RNA from 1 species
UCUCCGUAGGUGAACUUGCGGAGGGAUCAUUACAGAGUUCAUGCCCUACCGGGUAGAUCUCCCACCCUAUGUUAUUAUUACUUUGUUGCUUUGGCGGGCCGUUAGGCUCCGGCCCGACUACCGGCCCCGGCUGGUAAGCGCCCGCCAGAGGACCCAAAACCCUGAAUAUUAGUGUCGUCUGAGUACUAUAUAAUAGUUAAAACUUUCAACAACGGAUCUCUUGGCUCUC